CAGUUAGCAGGGCUAACAGGUAGCAGGGCUAACAGGUAGCAGGUCUAACAGCUAACAGGUUUAACAGCUAACAGGUCUAACAGGUAGCAGGGCUAACAGGUAGCAGGGCUAACAGCUAACAGGUUUAACAGCUAACAGGUCUAACAGGUAGCAGGUCUAACAGU